AGCAGCCGCGGUAAUUCCAGCUCCAAUAGCGUGUAUUAAAGUUGUUGCAGUUAAAAAGCUCGUAGUUGAAUUUCGGGGUUAGUAGGUCGGUCGUGCCACUGGUAUGUACUGGUCUCACUGAUUCCUCCUUCCUGAUGAACCGUAAUGCCAUUAAUUUGGUGUUGCGGGGAGACUGGACUGUUACUUUGAAAAAAUUAGAGUGUUUAAAGCGGGCUAACGCUUGAAUACAUUAGCAUGGAAUAACGGAAUAGGACGUUCGAUCUUAUUUUGUUGGUUUCUAGGAUUGACGUAAUGAUUAAUAGGGAUAGUUGGGGGCAUUAGUAUUCAAUUGUCAGAGGUGGAAUUCUUGGAUUUAUUGAAGACUAACUACUGCGAAAGCAUUUGCCAAGGAUGUUUUCAUUAAUCAAGAACGAAAGUUAGGGGAUCGAAGACGAUCAGAUACCGUCGUAGUCUUAACCAUAAACUAUGCCGACUAGGGAUCUGAUGAUGUUAAUUUUUUAAUGACUCAUUCGGCGCCUUA
rnacentral:sRNA from 1 species